rnacentral:rRNA from 1 species
UGCGUAGGGAGCAAGCGUUGUCCGGAAUCAUUGGGCGUAAAGCGCGCGUAGGUGGCCACAUAAGUCCGUUGUGAAAGUCAAAGGCUCAACCUUUGAAAGCCGAUGGAUACUGUGUGGCUAGAGUACGGAAGAGGCGAGUGGAAUUCCUGGUGUAGCGGUGGAAUGCGCAGAUAUCAGGAGGAACACCAAUAGCGAAGGCAGCUCGCUGGGACGUUACUGACACUGAGGCGCGAAAGCGUGGGGAGCGAACAGG